rnacentral:lncRNA from 1 species
CAACAAUCAUCAUCAUAUGGAGGAAAACACUUCUAGUAGUAAUUAUAUGUACAACCAUUUUCCAUUUACUACUUCACAAACAUUGCCACUAGCCUCUACUUUACCACCUCCACCUUUGUCAAUUCCUUCAGUACAUAAUACUAUUGAAUUUGACUCAAUAUCCCCAUUGAAGUCAGAAUUUUGUAACUAUAAUAGUAGUAGUAGUUGUAGUAGUUAUGGUUCUCCAGCUACAAGUUAUAAUAAUGAUCCAACAAGUUUGAUUCAAAGAAGCAUAAGCAGUCACUCACUACUUGUCAAGAAUAUGGAAGGAUUUUGCCCAAUUGUUUCUUCACCAACUGGUUUUCAUGACUCAGAAACCCCUAGCUCCGUCAGGAAAGUUUUAAGCACCGGCGAUUUGCAGGUAAACUACAUUUAAUUUAUUUGUUGUAGCAGGUAGUCUGUCUUAUUAUCAAAAUUACAAAUCACAUAUUUGAAGGAGGUUUAUUUCUACACAAUCUUUGGAUGACCUAAUAGUAUAAAAAUUUCUUAGCUAUGCAAUUUAAUAAGCAUACGUAUGUAUCUUAAUGGAUUUAUUUUGAACUAUCUCCAGUCUCCUUUACCAAAUCCAAACUUUGAAAAUACCGAACGGAAUACCAAAUACCCAUCCCUGCUAGUAGUUAUAUACUUGAUUAUUUGAUUAUUUAUAUAUGCAUGUAACAGGUAAUGCACCUGAUGCAGUAUAAUAAUUACCGUUCAGAAAGUCCAUUAUCCAGUGAGAGUAACAGCAUAAUUGAAGGAAUGAAUAAAGCUUGCAAAUACAGUCCACAAGAGAAGAAAGAACGCAUUGAAAGAUACAGAAGCAAGAGAAAUCAAAGAAAUUUUAACAAGAAGCAUCAUGAGUACAAUUUGCUAAUGUGCGAGUAGUGUUCUACCUAUUUACUGUUUAGACCAUCUCAUUGACAUUGAUCCACUAUCAGAAAAAAAUUGUUUCGCUCGGUGUUUAAUACUUGUAUUAAGAUUUGACUAAAUUUUAAUUUUCAUCGAGAAUACAUCAUGAGUACAAUUUGCUAAUGUGCGAGUAGUGUUCUACCUAUUUACUGUUUAGACCAUCUCAUUGACAUUGAUCCACUAUCAGAAAAAAAUUGUUUCGCUCGGUGUUUAAUACUUGUAUUAAGAUUUGACUAAAUUUUAAUUUUCAUCGAGAAAAUUUCACUUUAAAAGUUAAAUACUCUCUAUCAAAAGCAACUUCAUAUUCAACAGAAUUUAAACCCAAUACCUCUAACUAAACACAAAGUCGUAUACUCUGUUUCUAUCAAAUAUUCAAGAUCCAUUUAAUGACCCCGUUGUAAGAAUUCUAUUUCUCCCUUCCCAUCUACCUCUCCUCACUUCACAACCCUACUACUAUAACCAUAUCUUUGAGAGAACGAUCAGUAUGAAUUAUUAAUAGAAUCAGUAAAUUCCAUAUAUAGGCAGCAACAUAUCAAGUCAACGCCACUCAAGAAAGAAAACAUGACAUCACUUCCACGUCACAUUCCAAUAUGUCCAUUUCCUUUAAGAAGGUAUUCACACACCAAUUCCCUAUCAUAACAAUCUUAACUCUUUUCAUUUUCUUCCUCUCUUCAAAACUUUCCAAAAAAGAAAAACAAAACAAUCAACACUAUGUAUCGAUACAACAAUCAUCAUCAUAUGGAGGAAAACACUUCUAGUAGUAAUUAUAUGUACAACCAUUUUCCAUUUACUACUUCACAAACAUUGCCACUAGCCUCUACUUUACCACCUCCACCUUUGUCAAUUCCUUCAGUACAUAAUACUAUUGAAUUUGACUCAAUAUCCCCAUUGAAGUCAGAAUUUUGUAACUAUAAUAGUAGUAGUAGUUGUAGUAGUUAUGGUUCUCCAGCUACAAGUUAU